rnacentral:rRNA from 1 species
UACGUAGGGAGCAAGCGUUGUCCGGAAUCAUUGGGCGUAAAGCGCGCGUAGGUGGCCAUGUAAGUCCGCUGUGAAAGUCAAAGGCUCAACCUUUGAAAGCCGGUGGAUACUGCAUGGCUAGAGUACGGAAGAGGCGAGUGGAAUUCCUGGUGUAGCGGUGGAAUGCGCAGAUAUCAGGAAGAACACCAAUGGCGAAGGCAGCUCUCUGGGACGGUACUGACGCUGAGACGCGAAAGCGUGGGGAGCGAACAGG